GGAGCUGAGCCUCAAGUAAAAGCUUCCAGAAGAAAAGUCCGGAUACCAGAGACAAAAAGAAACACGAGACAGAACAGAAAGGGCAACAGCAGUCGCCCAAUUCUUCACACAGAAAGGCCAAAGUACAGAUGCAGCUUCAUCUUCAGCAGCCCCGUCUCCCCCCAUAACCCUCCACCAAUGGACCAGUCCAAAUGACGGAGGAGGUGAUGGGAGAAGUGGAAGAGGAGCGUUGGAGAGAACAGAAAACUGUCUGUGAGUGAACAGAAAUGACUGAAACUGGGAUCCAGUCAUCUUUUCAUGGACAAUUAUUACUCAACAUGGAUUUUUGCUGCAGAGGAUACUGUGAAAGACCGCCAUGAAACCAAGAAAAAUCGUUGUGUUUCCUGCCAGGAUUCUUUCAUAAGAGCAUGUGGUCCAUCAAAGUGC